CUUUGCUGCAUAACAAAUAACCUCAGAACUGAGUGGCUUAAAAACAAUGAGCAUUCAUCAUGUCAGAGUUUCUGUGGCUCAGGAAUCCAAGCAAGGCAUAGCUAAGAGCUUCUGCUUCAAAGUCUCUCAUGAGGUUGCCCACAGGCUAAGUGGGGGAGGCUGACUGGGGAGAGUCUUCUUCUCAGUUCACUCAUGUGGUUAUUGGAAGGCCCCAG
rnacentral:lncRNA from 10 species